UUUUAAUAUUUUUAGGUAAUGUUGUUUUAUUACGUUUUAGUUGAAUUUUUUUUCGAAUGUCUACUGGCAGUUGCUAAGAUUUCCGUAUUCAGGAGGUUUAAUAGAGUUCAUGGCAAUAAUUAUGUUCGUCUUUUUAUAUGAGGGGAAAUGGUCCUAGUAAUUCCAAAGUUUGGAACCUCCCUGUUUACAAAAUGUGCACUCAGAAGAAAGUGGUCCAGCAACGAGUCUCCAUUGGGGUAAGACGGCCUAAUAUCACAAAGUCGGGUAACUUCUAAUGAAGCCAAUUGUACAAAGUUUUUCCAUUCAUAUUUUCGGUGUGAUCACCCUUGGAUGUGUUCUUGGCGUUGAAAUCACCCCCCGAGAAUCAGACCAUCGAAACAGAUUGCUGUCUCAGGAAUCACGCUCAGUCCGACAGUCAAGGAUUCGCAAGAUAGAUUUUUAGGAAUGUAAACGAACCCAAUUAGAAUUCUCUCGAGUCGGCUGUUCUUAUUGAUUUUAUUUUUAAUAAAAUUAGUUUAAAAUUGGUUGAUAUCAAUAAAUACUUUUUCAAAUUAAA